CUGAAGACAAACUUGUGAAUGGAACCUUAACUCACUGGAGAAACACCUGACGCCACCAAGAGGUUCCCAAGCAUCCCCAUCUGCUCCUGAGCCCCUAUGGGAAUGCGAAGGGACUCUAGGGCCCCUGGCAUUUCCUCUUCCUAAAAAGCCCUCCCCUCCCCUCCCCAGGAACUGCACUUCUCUAGGACACCUUCGCAGACUCCACCCAAGCCGGGUUAAUUCCCAGUGUCUGGGGAUUUCAAAGUGCCUACGUGGCAUGUGCCGUGGCGUGUAUGAUCUGCACUGUUAUUACCUAGUUAUGAAUCUAUCUUUCUCACUGGACUCCGAGCCACAGAGGGCAAAAGCUUGCUCUAAUGUCCCCGACCCACAGCCUAACACCUGACCCCACUCAAUCACUGCCAACGCUGUGCUUAUGGACUCCAAGCACGAACCUGUGAUAGGAGUGUCUGACAGACCUGGGACCGGAUGGGGUGUUGCCUCUACCACGUACAGACUACCUGAAGGAGACUGUUGCACGGAUAGAUGUCUGAGAUUGACACCCACUCAAAAAGACCAUAGAUUCUCUGUAUAUACGGGAGUGUGUCAUUUUAACUUCCUGAUACACACUGUAGGCAAGGGAAAAAAAGACCUUCCUUAUCUUUAAAGUGUACACUCAGAGAUCAUUAGUGCUGACAUUUAUUGUUGAUUUUGCAGUAUUUCAUAGAGGACAUCUUAUAUGAAUUGAACAAUCUUGAAGACAUGCUAGAAUGCUUCAAAUUCCCAGAUGACGCCAUAAGGUAGGGCUUAAUAUUAAACAUGCACACUGGAGGGUGCAAAGAAUUCAUUGACAUGAAGCUGGUUAUCUACAGUUUCACUUUCAUCACUUUAAAACCACAACCCAAGGGUGAUUACACUGAAACUACAUCACAGAUGAAGUGCUGGGUCUCUCAGCAACCUUGUGUUAUCACUGGGCAAAGGGAAAGGACUUUCAAUCACAGCUGACACAGAAGACAAAGGGGGACUCUGAGCAAGUCUGGCCAUUUCAUACACACGUUUCAUAAGUUACUGCUUAGAACUUGGAAGCUAUUCAGAUACAGAGAGACUUUACUCCAUGCUUAUCUGCAGAGAGGGAAUCAUCAGACCUAGGAGUGGUCUUGGGGACUCCUGACAGAGAGAAUUUUAAAGAAAUCAUGGGGUAUGGCCCAAUCCACGAGAAGCGCUGGGCUCAUGCAAAGAAGACACGCAAUAAUGGGACCUCUAAGGAAUGACAUCUCUCAGUAAGGUUUGCUUGGUUUUCAAAAUUAAGAAAUGUACUAGUCAAUGGGAGGAUGUGUUCUACUUCGCAAAUGAAUUCAUUUCAUUUUCAAAGAACAGAAUGGAUACUCAGGAAAAAGGCCCAUGUCUGAUCAUGAACCCAAGUAAUUCCCUACUUCUCGAUUUACAAACUUCUGUCAUAACAUCUCCUCAUUUGACCCUCGUUACAAUUCUAUGAGGUAGACAAUAUGAUUUUUAUCUUUUAUCUUCCAUGGCACUUAGUCCAUUACGAGAUAAGCAGUGAUGCUCAAUGAAGAUGUACUGGUUGGCUGAUUAGUAAUGGCUUCAGAGAAAUUACUCCUUUAUAAAAAUUAACGAUUCCUGACGUCUGUCAGUGGAAGAACAAGCUAAAAAGCAAUCCAGGCAUUCAGUAAAAUUAUUAAGAUCACAAAUUAAGUCAUUUCCAUGGACUCUAUAGCAGGAAAUAUAUUUUUAAUGAGGAAAUUGAAGUUAAUACAUAACAGCUGUCCUGUUACCCAGUAACAGAAUAUUAAGGCAGAUUAAAUUAUUAAUGAAAAAUAUAGAAAAUUGGAAAUUUAACCUCCUAACAUUUUCUCACUCCUCUCUCUUUUAUACAUAACUGUUAAGCUGAUAUUCUAAAAAACACACUUGGUCGCCUUAGACAGUUUACACUGACAAACUAUUCACUAGCUGCGGAAUCUUCAGCACGUUGCUUGACCUCUCUCUGCAGCUGUAAAAUGGGAAGAAUCGCAAACUCAUGAGGUUAAGGAGAGGAUUAAAUGAGGUGAGAUAAGUGCUGAGCACAAAGCCUGGCUUGUUGUGAGCUUUUAAUAACGGUAGAAAUUAAUAAAAUGCAUGGAGAUAGAAUCAAUAAAUAUUUACUGAACUAAUAUCCAAAGUGCCCAUAUACAUCAGUACAGCUGUACGACUUCUAGACCAGUUAGCGACCAAAUGCUGCCUAGAAGCCUCAGAGUGCCGUCUAUCACCCCAUCGGUCCCAGCUCCUUCCCUAAAAGGAGAAGACCCUUUACAACUUCACGAUCAGACUUCUUUAUGACACAACACCUUAAGUGUCUAUGCCUGGAAUAGCAGGUGGAACCCCCAGGAAACUCACUAGACGCCCCUACCGCCUUGGCACCACCACUGAUUGCCCUAAAUCAGUAAAACUGCACCUGCCCCGGAGUAAACAUUGCAUUUGAGUGAAGAAUAAAUAAUGUUGAUGUAAGUCACUGGGAAUUUGGGGGUUGUUUGUUAUGCAGCACUAGCUAAUUAAUACUACCUCUAAGUGAUGUUCAAUAAGUGAUUCAAGAAGCUACGCAUAAGUCACUAAAGGAACAACCUUAUAAAAAAGAAAAGUAUAUGGCAAGAAUAGAUAGAAGAGAGAAGGAAGGAAGAUAAAAAGGUAGGUUAACAUGGCUUAGAAAACCACACCCUUGCUCAUCUCUGUGACAAUUUGCAGAAUCUUCAACAAGUUAUUUAACCUCUUUUUGCAACUGUAAAAUAGAGAGAAUAGCAAACUCAUUAGGUGAAGCAGAGGGUCAAAUGAGGUGAGUAAGAAAAGUGGUACGCUGGGACGUGCUCAGCACCGACAGACAGAAGACAGGAGCGGCAGCUGUCGCCAGGCCCAGCGCUGGGUGGCGCGCGU